UCUAUGAAAGUCUGGUUCUGGUAUUGUGAUUCUUGUUUGUGGAUAAAUUCAUAGGUGGAAGACAUGGUAUGUUUAUUAUUGGAAGCUGUAUUCAUGGUAUUGUGAUUCUGGUAGGCCACACUAACCCAAAUAUUCUUCCAACACACAUCGAUAACAUUAGUGUGCAACGGCUAGCGAUUGAGGACCCUGCAACCCUAAAACCCUACAGUCUUAGUAUAGUGACGACAUUAGCAGUCAACGGUGAUAAAUUCUUUUUCAACAUUAUUUAGGACUCUCACAGUAGCUUACAACAAAGUUUUCCUUCUAUUGGACAAGGAUUAAGCAAAUUCGGACACCACCAAGCAAAGAUUUGGGUUCUUUUGGAUUCAGAAUAGUUUCAAAACUCUUCGAAUACUUUUCAGCAAGAAUAUGAGACUAUUUUUUUUAGACUUGAUUCAAAGUGUCCGAAUUGAGAUUUAAAAUUUCUUUGGGAGUCUUUCAAAUAUUUUAUAAGUUCUUUUAUAUGCGUCGUGCAAGUGGAAUUCUACUUCUGGAGUCUAUUUGUUGUGUGCUAGCAUGUUUUGGUCUUCUAUUGUAAUUUAUAUAUUAUUUAUGACUACAUAUUGAUCAUCUUGAAUCAUGUGUUUUGGCUAAAUAAUAGCAUGUUAUGAUGUCAUGUAGUAGUGUAAUAGCUUACGUGUGAAUGAGUUAUUAAGUGAUAUGGUGCAUAUGACUUUGUUGACUUGUUGAGAAUGUUUGGUUAUGCAUAUGAUUAUGUUGGAGGCAUGUUGUUACUUUAUGUGUUUUGAUAUGAGAUAUGGUUUAGGAUUAUAUGGUAGAAAUCAUGCAUUGGUGAGAUUUUAUGAGAAAGGGGUUGAGAACCUUGUGAACUUGUAAAGAAAAUGUCUCAAUGUUGGAGGCAUGUUGUUACUUUAUGUGUUUUGGCAUGAAAUUUUUGUUCUUAUGUUUACGCCUCUCAACUGUUUGUGUAAAUGUCUCAAUAAAAGCCAGCUAUGGUUUCACUCCAAUAUGUCUCUUUGCUCCUAGAUUUUGGCCUUUUUAUGUGUCUAUGGCCUUUGAAAUUCGAUUUGAUUAAUGGUUUUGUUGUAUAUGAUACAUUUGUUGAAUUACUUGAAGUUCUAGUGCAUAAUUACUUGCUACCUUUUGUGAUAACAUCCUUAAGAAAGGUAGGAGUGAGAAGCUGAGUGAUGAAGCAAUUAAGGAGACACUUGAGAAGGUAAUUUUUACUGUGAUUUGGUGUAUCUCAUUUGGAUGUGUUUUUACUGUGUACUGGAAGUUUGCUGCUGUAGUUGGCAAAAAUUAGCAAUUUGGAUGUGGGUAGUUGUUAGCCUAAGCAUACUGGAAAAUAAUAAGUGUUAUCUUCUGGACUAUGGUGCUGAAAUAGUUGUUUGGGUUGGAAGAGUGAUGCAAGUAGAGGAGCGAAAAGCAACAAUUCAAGUAGUUGAGGAAUUUAUUGCCAGCCAGAAUAAGCCAAAGGCAACUCGUGUGACUCGGGUUAUACAAGGCUAUGAAACACAUUCUUUUAAGUCCAACUUCGAGUCCUGGCCAGUUGGAUCAGUGACUAUAGGUGCUGAGGAAGGAAGAGGAUAGUAGCUGGUAGUUACCACAUCUAAUUAAUAAAAUGAGUUUUUUAUUCUGCUUGCUUUAAUUAUUAUUCAAAAUGGUACUCUUUUUGUAAACAACUCUAUUGAAGCAACAAGAUCUCGAUCUCAAGGGAUUAACAAAAUGUGCACCAGUGAAUGAGGAAGUUCCACCGUUGCUGGAGGGAGAGGAUAUUGCUUGCAGAGGAUAUUGGUAAAUUUUAUAGUGGAGACUGCUACAUCAUUCUUUGCACCUAUCACUCUGGUGAGAGGAAAGAUGAUUAUUUCUUGUGCUCUUGGUUUGGAAAGGAUAGCAUCGAGGAAGAUCAAAAGAUGGCUACACGGUUGACGAAUACAAUGUCCAACUCGCUGAAAGGAGACUUGUUUAGCAUACAAUAACUGAGCAGAUAAUUGAGAAGUCCCACAUCGGCGGAACUGGCGGCAGGGACUUCACAAAGCGCUAUUAAUAGAGGACAAUGGCAAGCAUUUGAACAUACUUACCUGGACGGGGUUUAUGGGCGAUCAGCAAGGUCCAUGGCCUAGGUUGGUGACCUCCAUUGCACAUACCGGAGGGGUGCUCGCCUAAGGUCUGCCCAAAGUGGUAGAGCUUACGUCAUAAUUUGUGGCAGUGGGGGCCUGCGUUCGCGCGGCCCCUUCCAAAUUCCUCAGUUUAUCAAUGUCUUCAUCUUCUUUUAGGAUGUAAAUGGAACGUAACGUGGAGGGAGGACUUUUUGUUCAUCAUGUGCAAUGUGGGGAUUUGUUAGUUUUAACUGCAACAAAAUAAGGAAAAAUUAGAAUUGGAAGAGGCAUUUGUAAAAACGAAAAUGAAUGAAAACUAACUUUUUUGCCGACUGUAUGCAGUGGUAAUUGGAGCCCUAAUGUGAUAUCCAUUUUAAUGAUUGGGCCAAUCAGUCGUUCGUAAUAGGGUUCGCGAUGGGUGAGAUAUUACUAACGCAGUGGUGAAGUGCUCUGACGUAAGUUUAGUUUUUAUUUUAUUUUUUCUAAGACUGUCAUUUUGCAUUAAUUCAUUUUAUAGGAACGAGUCAUUCUGCAUUAAUACCAUUGGUAUUGGUUCAUCUGUACCAAAAUUUCAAGAAUGAAAUUGUUUCUCCUUUUCAUAUAUGUACUCUUGUGAGUAAGCUGCCAAAAUCUUCAUAAUAUGCAUCCUUUAUGGGAAGCUGAGAUUAUUGAUGGUUCUGAAUGUUCUCUUCAGAAUUCUCGUAAUAUGCAGGAUAUCUGUCUAUUGUAUUGUAUCUCCAGAUUGUGAUGGAUGACACUAGAAGUUAUCCACAAUUCUCAAAUGGCAAGCAAGUUCUUAUAUCUUCAAUAAUGUUUGUCAAGUUCAUUUUCAUUCCCCGUUUGACCUUAUGAGGUGCUUAACCAGUUGAGUGAUAUUAAUGCCAGACAUUUCUUUUGUGACACCAAAUCUUAUUCCAGGUUGAGGCAUGGGAUCUGUAUUCUCCAUCAUGUCUAUAUAAAAUGGAAGCGGAAGUGCAAACUUUAUAUUCUGGUCUUCUGUGAGAUAUUUGUUCCUGAGAUUUUGGACUGAUAAUUGAAGAGUUUUUCAUGCUAGAUUUGCAGAUUGGUUGGAUGCAAUUUUAGUGAUAAGAUCAUUAAGAACAAAUUCCUUAAAUCGGGGAGGAAAAGGCAUUUCCAGCCUUCCAUUUUGACUGAUGUAUUUUCCUUUUUAUUGGAUUAUUUGGGAGAAUAUUUUGAGAGUGUUGUUUGCAAGGGAAAUUAUGCACUAGUUUGUUCAUGAACAUGAUACUUACAAAAAUGAAAAUCGCUUCUCUUUAGGAAGGA